rnacentral:rRNA from 1 species
UGCGUAGGCGGACUAAUAAGUCAGUGGUGAAAUCUUCCGGCUCAACCGGGAACCUGCCAUUGAUACUGUUAGUCUUGAGUUCGGUUGAGGUAGGCGGAAUGUGUAAUGUAGCGGUGAAAUGCUUAGAUAUUACACAGAACACCAAUUGCGUAGGCAGCUUACUAGACCGACACUGACGCUGAGGCACGAAAGCGUGGGGAGCGAACAGGAUUAGAUACCCUGGUAGUC